CAAGGUUUCCGUAGGUGAACCUGCGGAAGGAUCAUUAUCGAAACCCGAGGGUGCAGAGGGUGAUCGGAGAGAUCCGUUCCUCCGAAGCCCUUCGCUUUUACUCUUUGACACACCCGCGUGCACCCCAUUCGCAAGGGUCCCUUCGGGACCUGUGCGUUUCGUCUCUGACUCGCAUGUCUACAGAAUGUCGAUAGCAUUUGAUAUAUAUAUAAAAAUACAACUUUCAGCAACGGAUCUCUUGGCUCUCGCAUCGAUGAAGAACGCAGCGAAUCGCGAUAAGUAAUGUGAAUUGCAGAUUUUCCGUGAAUCAUCGAAUCUUUGAACGCACCUUGCGCUCCUUGGUAUUCCGAGGAGCAUGCCUGUUUGAGUGUCAUCGAAAUCUCAAACCAAGCCUUCUUUUUUUGACUUCGGUCGAAGGCUCGGGUUUGGAUCGUUGGGAGUCUGCGGGCGACGCACGUCGUCGGCUCUCCUGAAAUGCAUUAGCGGUGGGCAUGCAAGUCUUGCUUGGCACCAGCCUCUCCCGGCGUCAUAAUGAUCGUCGCGGGCUUGCCAGCUGCAAGGGACGUGUCCCAUGCUUCUCCAACUUUGCGAGCCCCCCCCACCCCUCCCUCUCCGCGUGCGGCGCUCUG
rnacentral:sRNA from 1 species